UACGAAGGGGGCGAGCGUUGUUCGGAAUUACUGGGCGUAAAGGGCGCGUAGGCGGCCGAGCAAGUUCGAUGUGAAAGUCCUGGGCUUAACCUGGGGACUGCAUUUGAUACUGCUUGGCUUGAAUUCGGGAGAGGAUAGCGGAAUUCCCAGUGUAGAGGUGAAAUUCGUAGAUAUUGGGAAGAACACCGGUGGCGAAGGCGGCUAUCUGGACCGACAUUGACGCUGAGGCGCGAAAGCGUGGGGAGCAAACAGG
rnacentral:rRNA from 1 species